GACGAACGCUGGCGGCGUGCUUAACACAUGCAAGUCGAACGGAAAGGCCCCCUUGUGGGGUACUCGAGUGGCGAACGGGUGAGUAACACGUGAGUAACCUACCCUUGACUUUGGGAUAACUUCAGGAAACUGGGGCUAAUACCGGAUAGGAGCUCCUGCUGCAUGGUGGGGGUUGGAAAGUUUCGGCGGUUGGGGAUGGACUCGCGGCUUAUCAGCUUGUUGGUGGGGUAGUGGCUCACCAAGGCUUUGACGGGUAGCCGGCCUGAGAGGGUGACCGGCCACAUUGGGACUGAGAUACGGCCCAGACUCCUACGGGAGGCAGCAGUGGGGAAUAUUGCACAAUGGGCGGAAGCCUGAUGCAGCAACGCCGUGUGCGGGAUGACGGCCUUCGGGUUGUAAACCGCUUUCGCCUGUGACGAAGCGUGAGUGACGGUAAUGGGUAAAGAAGCACCGGCUAACUACGUG
rnacentral:rRNA from 1 species